AAAUGAAUAGACGGGGGCCCGCACAAGCAGCGGAGCAUGUGGUUUAAUUCGACGCAACGCGAAAAACCUUACCAAGACUUGACAUCGCGCGCUAUCCCUGGAAACAGGGAGUUCCUUCGGGACGCGUAGACAGGUGGUGCAUGGUUGUCGUCAGCUCGUGUCGUGAGAUGUUCGGUUAAGUCCGAUAACGAGCGCAACCCUCAUUACUAGUUGCCAAUAUUAAGUUAGGAACUCUAGUGAGACUGCCGUGGAUAACACGGAGGAAGGUGGGGAUGACGUCAAAUCAUCAUGCCCCUUACGUCUUGGGCUACACACGUGCUACAAUGGCUACUACAAAGAGCUGCAAACCUGCGAGGGCAAGCGAAUCUCAAAAAGGUAGUCUCAGUUCGGAUUGUGGGCUGCAACCCGCCCACAUGAAGUCGGAGUUGCUAGUAAUCCCGAAUCAGCAUGUCGGGGUGAAUGCGUUCCCGGGCCUUGUACACACCGCCCGU
rnacentral:rRNA from 1 species